AUAAGGUGCCCAUCUUUUGGAAGAGCAAUUCACAGCAUUUGGGCAAUUUGCAGAGCCUGUACUAGAUGAGGUGUGAAUCAAGGAGGGGAGAAAAUGAUCUUUAAGUACCCAAGAUGGCCAAGUCUAAUAUAUGUGUAUCCUAAACAGAAAUUUCAAAUGUAUGUAUGAGUGCACAGGGAACGCUUUUUUUUUUUUUUUUUUUUUUUCCUUCUUCUGGAAUGGUAAGUUAAAUUCGAAAGACUGUGAACUGUAACUGUCACCUGUGAUUGCUGAGAUACAUCUUACUGUCCCCAGUAUGGGAGGCUGAGCAGCUAGAAAGCAGUCAGUUUGCAAACACUCAAUCUCAAUUGGGAUUUUGUUUGCGUUUGUGUUACUUAUAACCUCUGCUACCAGUGUAUAAAAAUCUGACUUGAACUUUUGAUUAAUAUGUUUUUUACUGCACCAUUAAGCUUGUCUAGUUUACCAGCAGCACAGGGAAAGUCACAAAUAUAACAUUUUUCCACUCUCCAAAUACAAAUAAACUAGUUUGCACACAAAUCCUCAAGGACUUGCAUCCUAAAUACAUUUAUGAAAGUUAAUGUUCAGGGGAUAUUUCUGGAAAAGCUGAAGUAAGUCAUGUCUGGGCUCGUAUUGCCAAGGUGCUGAAUUUGAUGGGAAAAAAAUGGAUUUUAAUGGACACAAAAUACUUCUUCAGCCACAGGCAGAAGAAAUCCCAGAGCUUUGGGCAGACUCCACAUGCCAUCGAAACCAGUGUAGAGUCCUCCUGCCAUGAGGCUCGUGCUGUAUAUUACCAACACUGGAAUCUGAACCUAUGGAGGAAUGGAGCAAUUAAUGAGAUAAUUAAAGAAGAUGGUGGCCAAUGUGUUAUGGGAAGGUUCUGCAGCCCACAGGCAGAGGCAAGGAGGAACUGUGCUGGUUUUGACAACGUUCCUGAAUCCUUGUUUUCAUCCAUUUCUUGUUUUGUUGUUGUAGUAAUCUAAACCAAAGGUCACCCUGAGUGAAAAAAAAAAAAAAAAAAGUAAGUUCGUUCUUUGUGUAUGGAAAGCAUAAUUAAAUUACCAAUGCUUUAAAAGAUUGGGUUUAGAUAUGGUUAAGCAAAUUUUUAUUUGUAUUGAUGAAUUCCUUUGACAUCUGUUUACUACCUAAAAUAUUGCUGCUAUCAUCUAAUGACCAGACAUUCUGGCUCCAUUCACCAGAAGUGUCAUUCAAUAGCUGCUCUUUAGCACUAAAUGUUGCAUUACACAGAAUGAUGGAGUAUUAUGUAUUUAAUAUUUUUUAAUUAAUUUUCUAAAGUCAAGAUUAAGUAUUAUGAAGCAGGUGUUCUAGAAACAAUUAAACUGUGUAUUAUCUAUGAAGCAUUUGUACUAAAACAAUUAGAAAUGUGGGUGUCUGAAGGCUUUAAAAUUCAUUUAAGGAAGUAAUCCUCUGCCCAGUCAUUUCUACCACGUACAAAUGCAUGUAAAUCUUUAUUUCUACAUGCACAAGAAGGUUUCAACAGAAGAUGAGUGUUCUUUAGGUUUUCUAUUUAAUUUGCAAACACUGUAAUUUAGCAUUCUCUGCCAUAGCUGUAUGUGAAAAAAAAAUAAAAUAAAAUAAAAUCCUGUAAAUCA
rnacentral:lncRNA from 1 species